AUGAUCGCCACUGUAACGCAGACCGGCUCCAUUCAGUGAUAAACAUGUCCCUAAUCAGACACACCUGAGCUUGUUACCUACACAUCGUGGCUAAUCAAGCUGGUAGUAAAACCUGGAAUGGGUGAAACUGCUGUGCAAUAGGAGUCAAUUUCUUUCAAUUUUUGUCAGUUUUUCGUUAAGUAUAUGGGAAACUACAAAGCAGUGUGUAAUUCAAUAAUUAACGUAACAUUAUUCAGCAGGUUUCAUUCGACUUUAUGAACCAGCAUUUGUUAAUUCUAUCUGCGCAGAAUGAUCUUCGUGAACGCACUCACAUUCUUCUAAGCAACAGAUGUAUUCUGCAUACCGGCUUCCCAAACACUUCUGCAAAGUUGCACACUUUUAUAUACUCGUAUUUAGGACCAUGCCGGUCCCGUUGCUUUGUGAUCCGCUCUGAGCAAUGCCGACGCCCACACAGUUGGUUUAAACAUCACCGAGCGAGCUGAGAGACCCGCCCCGAAUGCAAGCGCAGCAGAUCUCGUUUCAAUGUUGAAAGCACAGUGGUGCUGUUUACUGCGGGCUGCACGGCGCGUAUUCAAUCACACUGCGCUUCGGACUCCAGGAGCGAUGGCAUUCUGUUCUAUCGGCUGCCUUUUGGUUUUGGUCGCUCACUGUAAGUAUCCGAUUAUUCUAACAUUGAUUUGAUAUAUUUAGAUAGAUAUGUAUAGAUAUCAUUUCAUUUUACAAUAGGGAUUUCAAAGAGCUCAUCUUUUGCAGCAAAGUAUGACUAGGUUUAAGUAAAUACGAAAUGAAAGUUGAAAAAUUGAUUUUAGCUGAGAAUCUGAUAUAAUGUAAAACUGCAAGGGCAUCCUUUUCUAUCGUCUGGCUUUUGAGUUUGAUUGCUCAGCGUGCUGAGAGCUGAAGGCCCAUUCUAAUAUAUAUAUAUUGCAUUUUAUAAAGUGGAUUUAUUUUUGCAGCAAAUUAAUACGUUUAAGUAAACACGAAAUGAAAGUUGAGAAAUGGAUUUUCUCUUACAGAAUUUGAUAUAGUGUAUAAAUAUUUAACGCCUGGUGACCGAUGCAGUACUUGGUCGAUAUGUAUUUAUUUGAAUUUAAUUUGAAUUUGACUUUUUUUCAAAUAAAAACGAUGUGUAUAUGGCAAACUGAAUAAUAGUUUUAAAAAAAUGUCAUCCUUAGAUUAGAUUUCAGAUCAAAUAUAUUAUUUUGUAUGUAUAUACAGAUAGAUCUUUGUGUUAGUGUUUGUUUUUGAUAAUCGCGUAGAUGUUUAUGUUAUCAGUAUAUAUGGACUGGAGAGGGCAGCUUGCUCUUUGAGCUAAAUUCUUGGAGUUUAUGAAUCAAUAUUGUCAUUAUUUGCUUGUGCGUAAAAGUAAGGAUAGAAGCAACAACACCACAAACUUGAGACAUUAAACCUACGUUGUUUCAGGUGUGAUUUUGUGAGAGCGAUCCGACCCGUCCCAGACAAUCCGAUUCGGCGAACCCGUCCCCCUCUCCUUUUCUGGAACUGGUUCCGCUGGUUCGACCCGACAGUCCGGGCUGCUGCUCCGAGCAGAUCCGAUAAAAAAAGACCGUCUGCGCUUCUAAAUCACGCAUUUGCGAUGCUUCCAUAAUCACUGAUUUGGUUUUAUUUAUGUUGUUUUUCAGAUGGGCUGGCGGAACCCGUUGUUGACGAUGCGAAAACGGGCGGGAAUAUCACGCUGAAAUGCGGAGUUGAUCCAAGUAAAAUAAACUCUUAUGUAUAUGGCGUUACCUGGUACCGACAGGAGCCGGAUGGGCGAAUCCAGAUCGUCACAUCCCUGAGCAGUGUUUAUUUAAAAGAGGGUCGGUAUUCCGGAACACUCGACAGCAAGAACGGACAGUAUAAUUUAACCAUUGCGGACCUCCACAGAAACGACUCGGCCGUGUAUUUCUGUAUAGCGAGAGCAGUAGCUCUCCUGUUCAUACCCGGGUCCAGCACCAAACUCGUUGUAUCAGACCCGCUGACUGUCCCGAGUGUGGAGUUAUACUCUCCGGGUCUGUUUGAAGGCGAUUCGGACUGGACCGAGCCGAUUCCGGUGCUGUGUUUGGUGAGAGACACGUCUCCGGGGCAGCCGCGCCGGGCAGCGCGGAGGAGGGAGAGAUCGAACCCGACGGGUCCUAUAGCGUGCGCAGCUACGUCACAAUCAGUGCGGAUCAAUGGAACAGCGGCGCUGUAAAGUGCGAGGCUUACAACGUCAACAACGUCACAGAAAAAGUCUCCGCGUCACACCGAAGGCAAGAUUGCGUUCCUGUGUUGUUUUACGGACUGCCUGCCGUUCUCCUGCUAAUUCUGGUCCUGGUGUCUGUGGCGUGUGUUUACAGAAGACUUCAUAAAACUAAAACCGAUCACAAGUCCAGCGACGCGCCCUGCCGUCCCCAGCGCCCCGCCCGACACAGAACAGUCCAGGAUUACUCGACGGAGUACGCAUCGCUCAAUCUGUGACGGGCUCCACAAAGCACCGCGCUCAUCUUUAAAUACAGCCAGAGAGAGAGAGAGAGAGAGAGAGAGAGAGAGAGAGAGAGAGAGAGAUACUCUUUCAAUUCCAAGUCCAAUUCAUUGUGCAUUUACAUAAUAGUUAGUAAAUACAUGUGUAACACAAUUCCAAUGUUAUUAUGCAUUGUUACAAUGCACGUACUGUGGAAAUCUCUGUGCUCGAUAUAACCCUAUCCCUAACAUUAACCGUAACCCUUUGCUGAUACAGCUGUGUACUUGCAUAUAUCGUGCAAAAACACAUCCACACUAAGCACUUCGUAACUAUGCAUAAUACCAUUGUAAUGAUGUGCCAGUCUGCAUGCAUUUACCAAAUACACAGUAAUGAGAGACAGUUCAUGUCAAAUAUUACCCAUUUGUAUUGAAAUGAACUUUAAACAGCUGGACUCAAAUUCAAGCAAGCCUCUCAUGCUGCACGCCCACAAAUCUUUUUUUUUUCUUUGUAGUAUUCUAAACAUCUUGUAUAUUAUUAUGAUAUCAUAUAAAACACAUCUUUUGCUGUAUUACUAAUAAUAAUCACUG